rnacentral:tRNA from 2 species
AGCGAGAAAAUUGGCAUUCCUUCGAACUCAUAACCCGAAGGUCACUGGUUCGAGUCCAGUUCCCGCUA